GGUGAAGCCCAGCUUGCUGGGUGGAUCAGUGGCGAACGGGUGAGUAACACGUGAGCAACCUGCCCUCCACUUCGGGAUAAGCCUUGGAAACGGGGUCUAAUACCGGAUAUGAGCGCUCAUCGCAUGGUGGGUGUUGGAAAGUUUUUCGGUGGGGGAUGGGCUCGCGGCCUAUCAGCUUGUUGGUGGGGUGAUGGCCUACCAAGGCGUCGACGGGUAGCCGGCCUGAGAGGGCGACCGGCCACACUGGGACUGAGACACGGCCCAGACUCCUACGGGAGGCAGCAGUGGGGAAUAUUGCACAAUGGGCGCAAGCCUGAUGCAGCGACGCCGCGUGAGGGAUGACGGCCUUCGGGUUGUAAACCUCUUUCAGCAGGGAAGAAGCGCAAGUGACGGUACCUGCAGAAGAAGCGCCGGCUAACUACGUGCCAGCGGGGGGGGUGGGGUGCUACCAUGCAGUCGAACGGUGAAGC
rnacentral:rRNA from 1 species